UAGUCAUUAAGAGGGCUAUUUAGUUCAGCUGGCCCGCUCCCUAUUGUGCGGGAUUGUCUUUCUGUGUGUCGACUGCGGUUUGUUCGAGUGUGCUUGUCGAGUGUAUUUUCCCUGUUGUUGGGAAACCUUUUAUUUUGUGCUUGUGGUUUAUUAAAAUUACCACACAGUGUUCGCUGCUUCCUGCGCUUCUUUCCGCCACACAACAGACAAGCCGUUACAGUAAUGCAGGUUUGAUAGUUGUAUUUUCAAUAAUGAAUGGUUAGCUGUUAGGUGUUAUGUGACAUUUAGGUCAAAAACUCUAUUUUUAUUUUUGGUGUAGAUGGCCAAGGAAGUUGCACAGAACUUCCCCAACAUCCCCUCCCAAAUUGAUAUGGAACCUUCAAAAACACACGGAGCAACUGCGAAAAGAAAUGGCUGAGGAUAUACUAAAAAUGUCUGAGUUCAACAAAGCCAACAACUGCUUCAUUUGUGCCACUGAUAAAGAACCUGGAUGUGGCCCUGACUGGAUUGAAUGUUUUGCAUGCCAACGGUGGUUCCAUGUGCUGUGCCUAGGAAUGAAGACAGAGUUCAACAGAGUAAAGAACACAAACUGGAAGUGCAGUCUUUGUUGUUGAAAAUGUAUGCUAUACCCCAUCCACACUGAAGAGGCUCUGAAAUGUACAUCAACCAGGGAUAAAGAGAAAGUUAACACUGUGAAAUGUUUCAUACUUAAUUGAAGUUAAGUGUCCGUUGACAUGUUGGAAAAGAUUAAAGGUCUACAAUUUCUGUUUAA